rnacentral:tRNA from 1 species
GCGUCUGUAGCUCAGUAGGAUAGAGCGUUCGCCUCCUAAGNNAGAGCGGAGGUUUCCUAAACCUUGUCUGCCGUGGGUUCGACUCCCUCCAGGCGCA